rnacentral:rRNA from 1 species
UGGGGAAUAUUGCACAAUGGGCGCAAGCCUGAUGCAGCCAUGCCGCGUGUGUGAAGAAGGCCUUCGGGUUGUAAAGCACUUUCAGCGGGGAGGAAGGCGUUAAGGUUAAUAACCUUGGCGAUUGACGUUACCCGCAGAAGAAUCACCGGCUAACUCCGUGCCAGCAGCCGCGGUAAUACGGAGGGUGCAAGCGUUAAUCGGAAUUACUGGGCGUAAAGCGCACGCAGGCGGUCUGUCAAGUCGGAUGUGAAAUCCCCGGGCUCAACCUGGGAACUGCAUUCGAAACUGGCAGGCUAGAGUCUUGUAGAGGGGGGUAGAAUUCCAGGUGUAGCGGUGAAAUGCGUAGAGAUCUGGAGGAAUACCGGUGGCGAAGGCGGCCCCCUGGACGAAGACUGACGCUCAGGUGCGAAAGCGUGGGGAGCAAACAGG